rnacentral:rRNA from 1 species
GACGUAGGGCGCGAGCGUUGUCCGGAUUUAUUGGGCGUAAAGAGCUCGUAGGCGGCUCGUUGCGUCGGCUGUGAAAACCCACAACUCAACUGUGGGCCUGCAGCCGAUACGGGCGAGCUAGAGUUCGGUAGGGGAGACUGGAAUUCCUGGUGUAGCGGUGAAAUGCGCAGAUAUCAGGAGGAACACCAGCGGCGAAGGCGGCGCUCUGGGCCGGUACUGACGCUGAGGAGCGAAAGCGUGGGGAGCAAACAGG